rnacentral:lncRNA from 1 species
AUAAUACAGGAAAAAACACCAUUUUGUGAUUAGAAACUAAACAAAAUGAUAGAAUUGUUAAAUACUUCAGGAAAAGAUAGCUUUCAGACACUGCUUUGAGAAUAUGAAAAGAAAAGAUAGGGUCACCGUACGUUUUUUCCGGCUACAAUACAAAAUAGGAAAAUUCCUUACAGAAUCCUUCAGAAAAUGCACUUUUUUAGAGUUACCUCCCCUUAAAAUACCAAUUUAAAAAAAAAAAAAAAACAAC